UUCUAGUCAUCCUCCCUUCUCUCCUCUAACUCCCAGUUACAUGCGAUUUUGGGAGUGCUAGAGUGUGUGGAGAGUGAAAGAUUAACUGGAAAGGAGCCCCACAAUAUAGCUUCCGUGGUAUUGUCCAUGAUGGAGUGGGACUUUGCAAUGAUGUAGCUGUUUGGAAUCCCACAUUCCUGUAACAAACCUUUCAUCAUGCUCCUGGAGAAGGAAGAGUGGAGCCAGCAGACAUGAUCCAGCGGCCCAAGGAACAAGAUGUCAGAGAACUGACGCCAUCAUUCUUGUUGCUAAAGGUGAAGCAGAACUGAAUGAAAUUCAUAGUGCCUGAGGAUUUUCAAAGAAGUUUUUCAAUUCAGGAACUGGAUUGCAACAUUCCUUCCAAAUUGAAACAUUUACUCCAAGAAGGAAGUGGAGACGCUUGAGCCCCAGUGAACUAAACAGAAGGUAACAUGGCAGGGAGAAUGGGAACUUGGAAAUUUCCUCAAGGUGAUUACCCAGUGGUGCUAAAGUAACUAAACAGUUGCUGGGGGU